GUGCACAGUGAACACCCAAGGAAGCUUAUGUAGCUCUCCCUGGUCUUAAAUCUGUGCCACAGUAACUCUGAUCUGUACCUCUGCAUUAGGAGAGUCUGCUCCUCCCCUACAUGUAUUCAUCAGAUCAGAAUAAUC